CCUACGGGAGGCAGCAGUGGGGAAUAUUGGACAAUGGGCGAAAGCCUGAUCCAGCCAUGCCGCGUGUGCGAAGAAGGUCUUCGGAUUGUAAAGCACUUUAAGUUGGGAGGAAGGGCAGUUACCUAAUACGUGAUUGUUUUGACGUUACCGACAGAAUAAGCACCGGCUAACUCUGUGCCAGCAGCCGCGGUAAU
rnacentral:rRNA from 1 species